GUAGCUUGUGUUUUUCCUGAUGAGUGUCCAUUUGAGGCUGAUGCCUCUCCCUGAAAAGUCCUGGUGGGACAAAAGCUGUGGUGAUCUGGCACCUGUCCCAGCUACAUGGGAAGGCUCCUGGGGAGUGAGGAGAAGAUUCAUCAAAACAGAUGAAACCGAUGGCUUUCUCGAGCCCAGAAAGGCAAGCCUGGCAGUCCCACACACCUAUCGAUCUCACAGAAGAUGCAACUCGCACUUCUCAAAGUUGGAUUUCUGCUUCCAAGUGGCUGCUUUGCAGCUCAGGCUACAGAGGACGGAGGUCGGCAUGGGAGGGAAAGACCUCAGCACGCGAUUGUGCUCAGCAGGUCAUUCCCACAGCCUGACUCGAGCACAUCCCCCCUGCACCAUUUAUGGCUAGGAAGGAGAAGUGGAAGCGCUGUGGAUACACUGAGAUGAAUUAGUGCAGAAUGCCAUUUGCACUGGGGAACGCCAGCAGCACCACAUCCUC
rnacentral:lncRNA from 1 species